GAGACCAUCCUGGCCAACAUGGUGAAACCCCAUCUCUACUAAAAAUACAAAAAAAUUAGCUGGGGCCGGGCACAGUAGCUCAUGCCUGUAAUCCCAGCACUUUGGGAGGCCAAGGCAGGUGGAUCAUGAGGUCAGGAGAUCGAGACCAUCCUGGCUAACAUGGUGAAACCCCAUCUCUACUAAAAAAUACAAAAAAAAUUAGCCAGGCGUGACGGUGGGCGCCUGUAGUCCCAGCUACUCAGGAGGCUAAGACAAGAGAAUUGCUUGAACUCGGGAGGGGGAGGUUGCAGUAAGC
rnacentral:lncRNA from 1 species